AUACGUAGGGUGCGAGCGUUAAGCGGAAUUACUGGGCGUAAAGCGUGCGCAGGCGGUUUUGUAAGACAGGCGUGAAAUCCCCGGGCUCAACCUGGGAAUGGCGCUUGUGACUGCAAGGCUAGAGUGCGUCAGAGGGGGGUAGAAUUCCACGUGUAGCAGUGAAAUGCGUAGAGAUGUGGAGGAAUACCGAUGGCGAAGGCAGCCCCCUGGGACGAGACUGACGCUCAUGCACGAAAGCGUGGGGAGCAAACAGGAUUAGAAACCCCUGUAGUCC
rnacentral:rRNA from 1 species